UACGUAGGGGGCUAGCGUUGUCCGGAUUUAUUGGGCGUAAAGAGCGUGUAGGCGGCCAGGUAGGUCUGCUGUGAAAACUCGAGGCUUAACCUCGAGAUGUCGGCGGAAACCAUCUGGCUAGAGUCCGGAAGAGGAGAGUGGAAUUCCUGGUGGUAGCGGUGAAAUGCGCAGAUAUCAGGAAGAACACCCGUGGCGAAGGCGGCUCUCUGGGACGGUACUGACGCUGAGACGCGAAAGCGUGGGGAGCGAACAGG
rnacentral:rRNA from 1 species